GAUGAACGCUAGCGGGAGGCCUAACACAUGCAAGCCGAGCGGUAUUGUUUCUUCGGAAAUGAGAGAGCGGCGUACGGGUGCGUAACACGUGUGCAACCUGCCUUUAUCUGGGGGAUAGCCUUUCGAAAGGAAGAUUAAUACUCUAUAAUAUAUUGAACGGCAUCGUUUAAUAUUGAAAGCUCCGGCGGAUAGAGACGGGCACGCGCAAGAUUAGGUAGUUGGGGAGGUAACGGCUCACCAAGGCGAUGAUCUUUAGGGGGCCUGAGAGGGUGAUCCCCCACACUGGUACUGAGACACGGACCAGACUCCUACGGGAGGCAGCAGUGAGGAAUAUUGGUCAAUGGGUGCAAGCCUGAACCAGCCAUCCCGCGUGAAGGACGACUGCCUUAUGGGUUGUAAACUUCUUUUGUAUAGGGAUAAACCUACCCUCGUGAGGGUAGCUGAAGGUACUAUACGAAUAAGCACCGGCUAACUCCGUGCCAGCCGCCGCCGUAA
rnacentral:rRNA from 1 species